rnacentral:tRNA from 1 species
GCCUUCGUGGUGUAGUGGUCAGCACGCUCGACGCGUAUUCGAGAGGUCAGUGGUUCGAUUCCCGGCGAAGGCG